rnacentral:lncRNA from 1 species
UAAAAAUGGCCAAACCCUCAUUUUUUGAAAUGAUAUAAGUAUGCCCAGUGAUUCCUUAAUCGCGGUCGCGGAACUAGCCUCGUGAUCACGAAGAACAACUUCGCUGUCCUAGGAUUUAACCCUGCGCAAACACGUAAAACACCAAGUGAACACGGUGUACUGGCUCUCAGACUUACAUGAUCGCGAACGUCCUCAAGCGUUCGGGAUGAUAAAAGCGUGUGGCCCAACUUUAGCCUCCUUAACUCUACGCAAACGUGACCUUGGCCAUGCGUUCGCGAACCACCACUUUACACCACUAUAUGUUCGCAUCCUUCUGCCCGUGAACAUGAAGAACAAAACUUCCUCUGCCUAGCUAAGCCUACGCGAUCGCGUAUAAGGAAACGAGAUGCACCAGGUCACAGAACUUGAUCCCUUUCUCUAAGUCCAAAAUGCUUCCGAUAAUGAUCCGAAACACACCCGAGGCACCCGGGACCUCAACCAAAGAUACCAACAAGUCCUAAAACACCAUACAAACUUAAUCGAGCCCUCAAACCAUAUCAAACAAUGCACCCGGGACCUCAACCAAAGAUACCAACAAGUCCUAAAACACCAUACAAACUUAAUCGAGCCCUCAAACCAUAUCAAACAAAUCGCCCUCCAAUUCAAACUUAAAGAACUUGAAACUUUAAAUUUCCACAACCGAUGCCGAAACCUAGCAAACCACGUCCGAUUGACCCGAAAUUUUGCACACAUGUCAUAUUCAACCCUACGAACCUACUCCAACUUCCGGAAAUCUCCAAAACUUUGACUUUUGCCAUUUGAAGCCUAAAUGAGAUACAGACCUCCAAAACACUAUCCGAAAAUGCCCCUAAGUUCAAAAUCACAUAACGGAGCUAACGGAACCAACAAAACUCUAUUCCGGAAAUGUCAUCACACAGUUCCGAUUAUGGUCUGAAUCGUAAGGCUAAACCUCUAUUUAAGGACUAAGUCUCCUAAAAUACUCCAAAAAGCAAAAUGAAAUCUCCGGGAAAGUCACAAUAGCAGAAAACGAUAUGGGAGAAGCAGUUAAUAGGGGAUCAGGGCUAUAACUCUCAAAACAACCGGCCAUGUCAUUACAGUAUGGAAUGAUUGUCCCUGUAUCAUGCUAUCUGGGAUUGCCAUGCAACGACUAUGACUUUAUCCAUGUUGGGGUUGCCCAGAUUGGAGUAGAGAGGGAAUAUUGGUCACUCAACUAGUAGGGUGGUUUCAUAUUUGAAGGCUCGACAUAUGGUCGAGAAGAAGUGUUUGGCGUAUUUGGCAUAUAUUCGUUAUUUUAGUGCGGAGGUUCCUUCUAUGGAUUCGGUACCGGUCCUGAGUGAGUUUCCUGAGGUGUUUCCUACAGAUAUGGAGGGUAUGCAACCCGACAAGGGUAUCAACUUGUUCAUUUAUUUGGUUUCGGGCACUUAACCCAUUUCUAUGCCACCGUAUCGUAUGGCUCCAGCUGAGUUAUAAUAUUUAAUGGAUAAGUUGUAGGAUUUGCUUGACAAGGGGUUCAUCAGAUCGAGUGUUUCACCCAGGGGUGUGCCAAUGUUGUUUGUUAAGAAAACGUACGGGUUAAU